AGCGUUAUGUAAACAUAUAAGGUGUAACCUGCCCGGUGACACUUUAAACGGCCGCAGUAUUUUGACUGUGCUAAGGUAGCAUAAUAAAUUGGCUUUUAAUUGAAGUCUUGAAUGAAAGGAUAAAUGGAUAGUGACUGUCUUUAAUUGACUUUUUAAAAUUUACUUAUAAGGUGAAAAUUCCUUAAUUUAUAAUAAUAGACGAGAAGACCCUAGGAGUUUAUUUAACAAUUUUAUAAUUGUAAUAUUUUGUUGGGGCGACAAUACAGCAUAAUAAAAACCUGUAAAUUUAAAUUAUCUUUAACGAAAAUUUUUAAUUAAAAUUAAACUACCCUAGGGAUAACAGCAUAAUUUAUUUUAAGUUUGUGACCUCGAUGUUGGACUAGGAAAUUUUAAUAUCAACAAUAUAAAAA
rnacentral:rRNA from 1 species